CAGUGGUUAACAUGAUUGCUUGCUGACAAUUAUUAUAGGCAUCCCAACUGAACCUCGGCGUUCAAUCAUGAUGGCUUUAUUUUGCUGCAGUGUGGCUCUCCUUUGCAUAGCUGUUUCUGCCAUUGUGGCACAAGAAGGUCUAUAUACACUGCAAAUGUUUGCCCUGGAACCCCAGCAGCCUUGAUACCAGCAGGAAGGCCUGCCAUUAUGUGCAAGGGCAUGGGUGUGACCCUGAGUACAGCUGGGUUUCCUGGGAGAUGGGCAGCCAUCUACCGUGCAUGUCCUUACUCUGGAAUGGCUGCCGUUGAUGUGAUUUGAGAUAAUGUGUCGCUUUUUCUUGGUUUUAUUCUCACUUGUUAUCUAACAAGAACCUAAGGUCAAGCACAUUAAACUUGACUGUGCCAUGAGUUUAAACUUUAUUUUGCAAGCAGGUCAUUGUGCUGAUGUGAUGCAAGUAAAUGGGUUGAAGCCUUUUAUUAAACCAAGCGCGCUUGUAUAGUUCAACUAUGCUUAAAAGGAGAUCAGAAAUCCAUGGAUUGUGCUAGACUUGUCUUCAUGA